rnacentral:tRNA from 1 species
GCCACCGUAGCCUAGCCCGGCAGGGCGCCCGCCUUGUAAGCGGGAGGUCCCGGGUUCGAAUCCCGGCGGUGGCUCCA